rnacentral:tRNA from 1 species
GUAGCGCAAUGGAUCGCGUGUUGAAUUUCUAAUCCAAAGCUUGUGGGUUCGAAUCCCACCUCA